GAAAGCGUGGGGAGCGAACAGGAUUAGAUACCCUGGUAGUCCACGCCGUAAACGGUGGAUGCUGGAUGUGGGGACCAUUCCACGGUCUCCGUGUCGGAGCCAACGCGUUAAGCAUCCCGCCUGGGGAGUACGGCCGCAAGGCUAAAACUCAAAGAAAUUGACGGGGGCCCGCACAAGCGGCGGAGCAUGCGGAUUAAUUCGAUGCAACGCGAAGAACCUUACCUGGGCUUGACAUGUUCCCGACAGCCGUAGAGAUACGGUCUCCCUUCGGGGCGGGUUCACAGGUGGUGCAUGGUCGUCGUCAGCUCGUGUCGUGAGAUGUUGGGUUAAGUCCCGCAACGAGCGCAACCCUCGCCCUGUGUUGCCAGCACGUCGUGGUGGGAACUCACGGGGGACCGCCGGGGUCAACUCGGAGGAAGGUGGGGAUGACGUCAGAUCAUCAUGCCCCUUACGUCCAGGGCUUCACGCAUGCUACAAUGGCCGGUACAACGGGAUGCGACCUCGUGAGGGGGAGCGGAUCCCUUAAAACCGGUCUCAGUUCGGAUUGGAGUCUGCAACCCGACUCCAUGAAGGCGGAGUCGCUAGUAAUCGCGGAUCAGCAACGCCGCGGUGAAUGCGUUCCCGGGCCUUGUACACACCGCCCGUCAAGUCAUGAAAGUGGGUAGCACCCGAAGCCGGUGGCCCAACCUUUUGGGGGGAGCCGUCUAAGGUGAGACUCGUGAUUGGGACUAAGUCGUAACAAGGUAGCCGUACCGGAAGGUGCGGCUG
rnacentral:rRNA from 1 species